GGGCGGUUAGCUCAGCGGUAGAGCACUACGUUGACAUCGUAGGGGUCACUGGUUCGAUCCCAGUACCGCCCACCA
rnacentral:tRNA from 110 species